GCUAGAAGCCAUAUCACACUGCAACACACUGCCCACUGGAGCUCAGCAGGUGUGAGCCUGGUCAGUACCUGGAUGGGAGACCUCCUGGGAAAGCUAAGGCUGCUGCUGGAA
rnacentral:rRNA from 1 species